GUUCAAUUUUUUUUUCUUUGUAGCACCCACGACUUUUUUGUUUCUCUAAACUGGCAGUAAAUGUAGGGUACUCAGAAAAUAUGUCUCCCUUAGAGUCCCACAAAAACAUUCUGGGUGAAAUCUGAAUUAAGUGCUAUGAGUCUUGAUAAAUUGGAGAAGAGCCCAAGAGAAAUUCAUCAUCCUGAGAUACAAAAGGAUUGAUUGGUUCAUGAAGAGUAAGAGGUAAGUACAAGCCUAACUACCUCUAGCUCACAGACCUGUCCAGUGAAUAGAGCUUUGUAUUUUGAUGGGCUUAUGAUGACUUUGAAAUCAAUUGCUCAUUACAGUAAAAAAAAAAAAAGUUGUUUUGAACAUGACAGCAAAAAUAACUUUAAGCACAACUUAAUAAUAAUAGAUCACCAAUUUUAGUUAAUAAUUUUAUGCAGUACUGUUUGGUGAGUGAAGGCUCGGACGCUCAAUAUGAGAUCAGCAAGCUAUGUUUAUUGCAGAGAGUAUCAGACACUUAUACAGCACAUAAUAAGCUUAUGAAUGUUCUGUAAGCCAAGCGAUCUAUUGGUUAAACUAUACCAUCAACUCUUCCUCAUUCCUUUGGGCCUACAUUCCCUAUUUCCCACGUCUCUCUGUCUACUUGUUAUCAUACCCAGCUAGGCCCAGGGACACGCUAUCUUGCAGGUGCAAAAAAACUCAAACUAGCUGUGUUCGGUACUUUCCCAGCUCCUGGUCGGCUAACAAGCGAAUGUCUACGUGAGCUCUAUCAUGUAGCCAUUUCUCCACACUAUACUAUCAAAGUUUAAAGGUAAAUUAUUAUGUAUUAGGAGAUGGUAUAAAGUGUAUGUUCUAAUGUGUAGGAUAUAUACAAAGAUACAUACUUGAAAGUCCGUAGAGGAAACAAAUUUUUCCGUCUUCUGUUUGACUGUUUGUCAUAUAAUAUUUGGUUUUAUUUCCCAGGGAUCGAUGAAUUUUAACUCUGGAGUCCUCUAUGCUAAGGAUGGUCAGCUUACAGAUGAUUAAAUGUUCAGUAAUGUCAUCUUUCCAUACAAACAGUGCUCCACUCUCCAGAGGAUUAUUGUGAGCAGAUGUGAGCUCUGCUGUCCCUUUGGACUGACAAAGACAGAGGUUUUGUCCCAAGUUCCUUUUGAACCUGUCCUGCACCUGUUACAAGUCCUCAGUCUCCUGCAAUUUUGUGGGUCAGUCACAUGUAAAACAGCACAACUGGCUGGCAUGCUUUGCUUAUGAGGAGAGACAAGAGAAGAAUCCCUCUGCUCACACCAGACCUGCAGCUGCCAAAUCCACCAAAGCACCUGAGGAGCCCCCAGGGACUGAUGGUACAGAAGGGAGGUGAUGGAGGACAGCACAGCAGGCAGCCUGCCCUCCAUCUGGCUGUGAAGAAGGCAGGGCUGGGAACUGUCAGCAACAUCCCAGCAGGUCUGGCUCACGGAGCCACCCUGAGGGCUUCCCCUGCCUUUGGGCAGUCCCAGCUGCUGCAGCUCACUUGACAGAGACUCAUUGUCUAUACUGUGCUUGGCUGCACUGGAGAUGAUGAAGCCGAGGACAGCAAUGGUUGCCUUCACAUCCCCUGACUGCAGAUGGGAAGGAGGGUGAGCUCUGUCACCUUGGGAAGGCAUCUGCAGAUUCACUGCUGCCCAUCUCUGGAGCAUGGCUCCAUCGGGGGAUCGUGGUAAGGACAGCAGUGCUCACCUAACUGUGCACCCGAGGACAGCUUCAGGAUCUUGUCAUACUGUGGGAGAGCAGAGCUUCACAGUAAAUACCAGCUAACAUACUUACUACCAGUGUUAACACUAACAAUUCUUAACCAAAUAUUAAUACUAAUAACACUUACUAUGCAUAUUAUUAAUGCUAGUAGAGGCUGGUAGUGUUCUUAAUUCUGAGGCUUGU